UCACAUCCGAGGCCUUGUAAUUGGAAUGAGUACACUUUAAAUCCUUUAACAAGGAUCAAUUGGAGGGCAAGUCUGGUGCCAGCAGCCGCGGUAAUUCCAGCUCCAAUAGCGUAUAUUAAAGUUGUUGCGGUUAAAACGUUCGUAGUUGAACUUGUGUCUCGCACGGGCAGUUACCAAGGUCUAGUUUACUAUUCCGGUAUCUUGUCUUAUCUUCACUUGUUUUCGACUUGUGAAAAGUGCGUAGACGUAUUAUCGGCGUGUUCGCUCUCGCAGCGUUCACAUCAGCUCAUUUCAUUGAUCUUAACCGAUUGAUGUUGUGAGCCGAUACUAAUUACUUUGAACAAAUUAGAGUGCUUCAAGCAGGCUUCAAUGCCUAAAUAUUCUGUGCAUGGAAUAAUGAAAUAGGACAUCUGUUCUACUUUCAUUGGUUUUUUAGACCAAGAUGUAAUGAUUAAUGGAAGCAGUUGGGGGCAUUAGUAUUACAACGCGAGAGGUGAAAUUCUUAGACCGUUGUAAGACUGACUAAAGCGAAAGCAUUUGCCAAAGAUGUUUUCAUUUAAUCAAGAACGAAAGUUAGAGGUUCGAAGGCGAUCAGAUACCGCCCUAGUUCUAACCAUAAACGAUGCCAGCUAGCAAUUGAGUGUAGCUACUACUAUGGCUCUUUCAGUCGCUUCUCGGGAAACCAAAGCUUUUGGGCUCCGGGGGAAGUAUGGUUGCAAAGCUGAAACUUAAAGGAAUUGACGGAAGGGCACCACCAGGAGUGGAGCCUGCGGCUUAAUUUGACUCAACACGGGAAAACUUACCAGGUCCGAACAUAAAUGAGUAAGACAGAUUG
rnacentral:rRNA from 1 species